rnacentral:rRNA from 1 species
UAGUGGCGAACGGGUGCGUAACACGUGAGCAACCUGCCCCGGAGACCGGGAUAACAGCGGGAAACUGCUGCUAAUACCGGAUGUCCCCACGAACCCGCAUGAGUUUGUGAGGAAAUGGAUUCCGCUCCGGGAGGGGCUCGCGGCCUAUCAGCUUGUUGGUGGGGUAACGGCCUACCAAGGCGUCGACGGGUAGCUGGUCUGAGAGGACGAUCAGCCACACUGGGACUGAGACACGGCCCAGACUCCUACGGGAGGCAGCAGUAGGGAAUCUUGCGCAAUGGGCGAAAGCCUGACGCAGCAACGCCGCGUGGGGGAUGAAGGCCUUCGGGUUGUAAACUCCUUUUAGUGGGAACGAAAAUGACGGUACCCACAGAAUAAGCUCCGGCCAACUACGUGCCAGCAGCCGCGGUAAUACGUAGGGAGCGAGCGUUGUCCGGAAUUAUUGGGCGUAAAGAGCUCGUAGGCGGCUUGGUAAGUUGGAUGUGAAACCUCCAGGCUUAACCUGGAGUCGCCAUCCAAUACUGCCAUGGCUAGAGUCUGGUAGGGGUCCACGGAAUUCCUGGUGUAGCGGUGAAAUGCGCAGAUAUCAGGAGGAACACCGGUGGCG